UACGUAGGGUGCUAGCGUUAUCCGGAUUUACUGGGCGUAAAGGGUGCGUAGGUGGUCUUUUAAGUCUGAUGUGAAAGCCCCCGGCUCAACCGGGGAGGGUCAUUGGAAACUGGAAGACUUGAGUGCGAGAGAGAAGAGUGGAAUUCCAUGUGUAGCGGUGAAAUGCGUAGAGAUAUGGAGGAACACCAGUGGCGAAAGCGGCUCUUUGGCUCGCAACUGACGCUGAGGCGCGAAAGCGUGGGGAGCAAACAGG
rnacentral:rRNA from 1 species